GAGUUUGAUCCUGGCUCAGAUUGAACGCUGGCGGCAGGCCUAACACAUGCAAGUCGAGCGGAAACGACACUAWCRAUCCUUCGGRUGMKUUAAUGGGCGUCGAGCGGCGGACGGGUGAGUAAUGCCUAGGAAAUUGCCUUGAUGUGGGGGAUAACCAUUGGAAACGAUGGCUAAUACCGCAUAAUGCCUACGGGCCAAAGAGGGGGACCUUCGGGCCUCUCGCGUCAAGAUAUGCCUAGGUGGGAUUAGCUAGUUGGUGAGGUAAUGGCUCACCAAGGCGACGAUCCCUAGCUGGUCUGAGAGGAUGAUCAGCCACACUGGAACUGAGACACGGUCCAGACUCCUACGGGAGGCAGCAGUGGGGAAUAUUGCACAAUGGGCGAAAGCCUGAUGCAGCCAUGCCGCGUGUAUGAAGAAGGCCUUCGGGUUGUAAAGUACUUUCAGUUGUGAGGAAGGGKGURWMGUUAAUAGCUGYRYMUCUUGACGUUAGCAACAGAAGAAGCACCGGCUAACUCCGUGCCAGCAGCCGCGGUAAUAC
rnacentral:rRNA from 1 species